UCUCUGGUGGCUCAGAUGGUAAAGAAUCUGUCUGCAAUACAGGUGACCCAGGUUCGAUUCCUGGGUGGGGAC
rnacentral:tRNA from 1 species